GGGGAAUUUUCCGCAAUGGGCGCAAGCCUGACGGAGCAAUACCGCGUGAGGGAAGAAGGCUUUUGGGUUGUAAACCUCUUUUCACAGGGAAGAAGCCAUGACGGUACCUGAGGAAUAAGCAUCGGCUAACUCCGUGCCAGCAGCCGCGGUAAUACGGAGGAUGCAAGCGUUAUCCGGAAUUAUUGGGCGUAAAGCGUCCGCAGGUGGCUAGUCAAGUCUGCCGUCAAAGACAGAAGCUUAACUUCUGGAAGGCGGUGGAAACGGGCGAGCUAGAGUACGGUAGGGGUAGAGGGAAUUUCCAGUGUAGCGGUGAAAUGCGUAGAGAUUGGGAAGAACACCAGUGGCGAAAGCGCUCUACUGGGCCUGUACUGACACUGAGGGACGAAAGCUAGGGGAGCGAAAGGGAUUAGAUACCCCUGUAGUC
rnacentral:rRNA from 1 species